GAUGAACGCUGGCGGCGUGCUUAACACAUGCAAGUCGAACGGAAAGGCCCUGCUUUUGUUGGGUGCUCGAGUGGCGAACGGGUGAGUAACACGUGAGUGACCUGCCCUGGACUUUGGGAUAACUUCAGGAAACUGGGUCUAAUACCGGAUAGGAGCUCCUGCUGCAUGGUGGGGGUUGGAAAGUUUCGGCGGUUGGGGAUGGACUCGCGGCUUAUCAGUUUGUUGGUGGGGUAGUGGCUUACCAAGGUUUUGACGGGUAGCCGGCCUGAGAGGGUGACCGGCCACAUUGGGACUGAGAUACGGCCCAGACUCCUACGGGAGGCAGCAGUGGGGAAUAUUGCACAAUGGGCGGAAGCCUGAGGCAGCAACGCCGCGUGCGGGAUGAGGGCUUUCGGGUUGUAAACCGCUUUCGCCUGUGACGAAGGGUAAGUGACGGUAACGGGUAAAGAAGCACCGGCUAACUACGUG
rnacentral:rRNA from 1 species